AAAAAAAAAAAACAACAACACGGCAUAUUGAACAUUCAGUUCAUACUGAAUACUUUUGAUGAUAUAGUCAGCUGGGUUGACUCCUGCAUCCACGUGACCCUGUACAUCUCAUGUGUCAAGGUCAAGGCCAGGGGGCUGGAUCCGGCCCUCUGGGUCAUUUUAAAGUUCAGCUAAUUUUUCAACUACAUGCUAGCUGUUUCGGG